UAUCUCUGUAGAGUCUGCAUAUCAAUAAGCGGAGGAAAAGAAACUAACUAGGAUUCCCUCAGUAACGGCGAGUGAAGCGGGAAGAGCUCAAAUUUGAAAUCUUCAAGGUUUUACCUUGACGAAUUGUAGUUUAAAGAAGUGUUUUAUGUUGGUGUUUUGGUAAAAGUUCUUUGGAAUAGGACAUCAUAGAGGGUGAGAAUCCCGUAUUUGACCAUUACUUUCCAGCGUUGUGAUACACUUUCAAAGAGUCGGAUUGUUUGGGAAUGCAGUCCAAAAUGGGUGGUAAAUUUCAUCUAAAGCUAAAUACUGGCGAGAGACCGAUAGCGAACAAGUACCGUGAGGGAAAGAUGAAAAGAACUUUGAAAAGAGAGUUAAACAGUACGUGAAAUUGUCAAAAGGGAAGCGUUUGACACCAGUGUUGUUUUCUCGAAAAUCGAUUAAAAAAUGAUUGGAUUUUGUGUUGUAUUGACUUUAUCAGCUUUCUGCACUCUUUUCUUAUCUUUUUUAAUGCACUUUUCGUUUAACAAGUCAACAUCAAUUUCUUUUGUUGUAAAAGAGUCAUUGGAAGGUGGCUUUCUUUUCGGAGAAAGUGUUUAUAGCCUUUGGCUUCUGCAAUCGGAGAGAUUGAGGUCUGCAGCGUAGAUCCUUCGGGGUUAGAUACAUUUGUGCUAAGUUAUAGCCUUUCAUAGACAACUUGUUGACUAUGAUCAGUCAUGUAGCUUACUCGCUUAUGCUAUUUUACCUACGCUUAGGAUGUUGAUCUCUCACAGUCGAGC
rnacentral:rRNA from 1 species